UACGUAGGUGGCGAGCGUUGUCCGGAUUUACUGGGCGUAAAGAGCCCGCAGGCGGCCUGGCAAGUUCUGGGUGAAAUCUCCCGGCUCAACUGGGAGGGUGCCUAGAAAACUAUCAGGCUUGAGGCAUGGAGAGGGAUGCGGAAUUCCCGGUGUAGCGGUGAAAUGCGUAGAGAUCGGAAAGAACACCAACGGCGAAAGCACUCUGCUGGGCCGACACUGACACUGAGAGACGAAAGCUAGGGGAGCGAAUGGG
rnacentral:rRNA from 1 species